UACGAGGGGGGCAAGCGUUGUUCGGAAUUAUUGGGCGUAAAGGGCGCGUAGGCGGUUUGACAAGUCUGAUGUGAAAUCUCUGGGCUCAACCCAGAGUCUGCAUUAGAAACUGUCGGGCUUGAGUAUGGGAGAGGUGAGUGGAAUUUCCGGUGUAGCGGUGAAAUGCGUAGAUAUCGGAAGGAACACCUGUGGCGAAAGCGGCUCACUGGACCAUAACUGACGCUGAGGUGCGAAAGCGUGG
rnacentral:rRNA from 1 species